rnacentral:rRNA from 2 species
AUGUUAGCGGCGGACGGGUGAGUAACACGUGGGUAACCUGCCUGUAAGACUGGGAUAACUCCGGGAAACCGGGGCUAAUACCGGAUGGUUGUCUGAACCGCAUGGUUCAGACAUAAAAGGUGGCUUCGGCUACCACUUACAGAUGGACCCGCGGCGCAUUAGCUAGUUGGUGAGGUAACGGCUCACCAAGGCGACGAUGCGUAGCCGACCUGAGAGGGUGAUCGGCCACACUGGGACUGAGACACGGCCCAGACUCCUACGGGAGGCAGCAGUAGGGAAUCUUCCGCAAUGGACGAAAGUCUGACGGAGCAACGCCGCGUGAGUGAUGAAGGUUUUCGGAUCGUAAAGCUCUGUUGUUAGGGAAGAACAAGUGCCGUUCAAAUAGGGCGGCACCUUGACGGUACCUAACCAGAAAGCCACGGCUAACUACGUGCCAGCAGCCGCGGUAAUACGUAGGUGGCAAGCGUUGUCCGGAAUUAUUGGGCGUAAAGGGCUCGCAGGCGGUUUCUUAAGUCUGAUGUGAAAGCCCCCGGCUCAACCGGGGAGGGUCAUUGGAAACUGGGGAACUUGAGUGCAGAAGAGGAGAGUGGAAUUCCACGUGUAGCGGUGAAAUGCGUAGAGAUGUGGAGGAACACCAGUGGCGAAGGCGACUCUCUGGUCUGUAACUGACGCUGAGGAGCGAAAGCGUGGGGAGCGAACAGGAUUAGAUACCCUGGUAGUCCACGCCGUAAACGAUGAGUGCUAAGUGUUAGGGGGUUUCCGCCCCUUAGUGCUGCAGCUAACGCAUUAAGCACUCCGCCUGGGGAGUACGGUCGCAAGACUGAAACUCAAAGGAAUUGACGGGGGCCCGCA